AGAGUUUGAUCCUGGCUCAGGAUGAACGCUAGCGGCGUGGAUAAGGCAUGCAAGUCAAGGGGCCCUGCUUGCAGGGAACCGGCAAACGGGUUAGUAACACGUAGACAACAUACCAUUAAGACAGGAAUAACUUAGAGAAAUCUAAGCUAAUACCUGAUAGUCUAUAUAUGUACUUCAUAUAUAGUAAAGUUUUUCGCUUAAUGAUUGGUCUGCGGCCUAUCAGCUUGUUGGUGGGGUAAUGGCCUACCAAGGCACUGACGGGUAGGGGGCAUGAGAGUGUAUUCCCCAACAUUGGAACUGAGACACUGUCCAAACACCUACGGGUGGCUGCAGUCGAGAAUAUUCGACAAUGGGCGAAAGCCUGAUCGAGCGACGCCGCGUGUUCGAAGAAGUCCUUAGGGAUGUAAAAAACUUUUCUGGAAGAAGAAGUUCCGCUUGCGGAAUUGACGGUACUCCAGGAAUAAGGGGAGGCUAAUCACGUGCCAGCAGCUGCGGUAAUACGUGAUCCCCAAGCGUUAUCCGAAUUUAUUGGGCGUAAAGGGUUCGUAGGCGGUUAAGUAAGUCUUUGGUUAAAUAUCCACGGCUCAACCAUGGAAAUGCCAAAGAUACUGUUUAACUAGAGGGCGUUAGAGGCUAACGGAACGGUCGGUGUAGGGGUGGAAUCCGUUGAUAUCGACCGGAACACCAAAAGCGAAGGCAGUUAGCUGGGACGACCCUGACGCUGAGGAACGAAAGCGUAGGUAGCGAACGAGAUUAGAUACCUCGGUAGUCUACGCUGUAAACGAUGAAUACUAGCUAUUUGAAGUGUCGACCCUUCAAGUGGCGAAGCUAACGCGUUAAGUAUUCCGCCUGGGAAGUACGGUCGCAAGACUAAAACUCAAAGGAAUAGACGGG
rnacentral:rRNA from 1 species